rnacentral:sRNA from 1 species
AUGGAGAAGGAGAACCUGCGGCUGGCCCUGGAUGCCAUGAGGGUGAGUGGGUGUAGGGUGCUGGUGACUCACCUGCUGCAGACACCCUCCUGGUGGGGACUGAUCCUCUAGCCGGGGUUAGGUAGGAGCCUGGGUCGGCUGUUGGGGGGCCAGGUUCACCCCUGCCCCCUCCCCAGGACCUGGCUCAGUGCGUGAACGAGGUCAAGCGAGACAACGAGACACUGCGGCAGAUCACCAAUUUCCAGCUGUCCAUUGAGAACCUGGACCAGUCUUUGGCUCACUAUGGCCGGCCCAAGAUAGACGGGGAGCUCAAGAUCACCUCGGUGGAACGGCGCUCCAAGAUGGACAGGUACGCCUUCCUGCUCGACAAAGCUCUACUCAUCUGUAAGCGCCGGGGAGACUCCUAUGACCUCAAGGACUUUGUGAACCUGCACAGCUUCCAGAUUCGGGAUGACUCUUCAGGAGACCGAGACAACAAGAAGUGGAGCCACAUGUUCCUCCUGAUCGAGGACCAAGGUGCCCAGGGCUAUGAGCUGUUCUUCAAGACAAGAGAAUUGAAGAAGAAGUGGAUGGAGCAGUUUGAGAUGGCCAUCUCCAACAUCUACCCGGAGAAUGCCACUGCCAAUGGGCAUGACUUCCAGAUGUUCUCCUUUGAGGAGACCACAUCCUGCAAAGCCUGUCAGAUGCUGCUUAGAGGUACCUUCUAUCAGGGCUACCGCUGCCAUCGGUGCCGGGCACCUGCACACAAGGAGUGUCUGGGGAGGGUCCCUCCAUGUGGCCGACUUGGGCAAGAUUUCCCAGGAACUAUGAAGAAG